UUUUUUUUUUUUAAUUUCUUUCUUUUAGGGCUGCACUGCAUGUAGCAUAUGAAAGUUCCCAGGCUAGGGGUCCGAUCAGAGCUGGGGCUGCUGGCCCAUGCCACAGUCACAGCAAUGCCAGAUCAGAGCCUCAUCUGAGACCUACACCAUACCUUGCAACAACAUCGGAUCCUUAACCCACUGAGCAAGGCCAGGGAUCAAACUGGCAUCCUCAUGGAGACUAGUCAGGUUCUUAACCCUCUGAGCCACAACAGGAACUCCAAGGAUAUCUUUUAAAAUUGAGUACUGCAAAUACCUAAUUUCUCUGAAAUAAUACUAAGGAAUUCUAUGGAUAAACAACAAGGUCCUCUGUAUAGCAUGGGAACUAUAUUCAAUGUCCUAUGAUAAACCUAAUGGAAAAAAAUAUUUUAAAAAUGUUUUUACGUAUGUAACUAAAUCACUUCACAGCACAGCAGAAAUUAACACAUUGUAAAUCAACUAUUCAAUUAAAAAAUUCGAACAAAACUGUUCCAUGUAAAUACACAGGCAUAGGGUCUAAGUUUAGGAGUACAAAUGUAAUACUUAUUAAAAAUGCAACUUAAUACUACAAAUGGUCAAAAGAAAGGAUACCUCAGGAGAGAGAGUACCCGAGGAAACAGGUAGGAUAAGAAAUAAGGUAGAAGGAGUUCCUGUCAUGGCUCUUUUUUUCUUGAUAAGUCAGGAUAAGGGUUUAUCAAUUUUGUUGAUGUUUUCAAAGAACCAGCUUUUAGUUUCAUUCAUCUUUUCUAUGCUUUUCUUCAUUUCUAUUUCAUUUAUUUCUGCUCUGAUCUCUAUACUACAAAGCGACAGUCAUCAAAACCAUAUGGUAUUGGCGCAAAGAGAGAAAUACAGAUUAGUGGAACAGGAUAGAAAACCCAGAAUUAAACUCACGCACCUACAGUGAACUGAUCUAUGACAAAGGAGGCAAGAAUAUACAAUGGAGAAAGGACAGCUUGUUCAAUAAGUGGUGCUAGGAAAACUGUACAGCCACAUGGAAAAGAAUGAAAUUAGUACACUCCCUAACACCAUACACAAAAAUAAACUCAAAAUGGAUUAAGGACCUAGAUAUAAGACCAGAUACUAUAUAAAACCCUUACAGGAAAACAUAGGCCAAACACUCUCUGACAUAAACGACAGCAACGUCUUCUCAGAUCCACCUAUCAGAGUAUUGACAACAAAAACAAACAAAAAAAUGGGACCUACUCAAACUUCAAAGUUUCUGCACAGCAAAGGAAACCCUAAACAAAACAAAAACACAACCCACAGAAUGGGAGAAAAUCUUUGCAAGUGAAUCAAGUGACAAGGGAUUAAUCUCCAAAAUCUAUAAACACCUUCUUCAGCUCCAUACCAAAAAAACAACUAACCCCAUCAAAAAAUGGGCAGACGAUCUAAACACAUGAUUCUCCAAAGAACACAUACGGAUAGUCAAAAAGCACAUGAAAAGAUGUUUAACAUCACUCAUCAUUAGAAAAACACAAAUCAAAACCACUCUGAGGUACCACCUGCACCAGCUAGAAUGGCCAUCUUCAAAAAGUCUACAAACAGUAAGUGCUGGAGAGGGUGUGGAGAAAAAGGAACCUUAUUACACUGUUGGUGGGAUUGUAAAUUGGUGCAACCACUGUGGAAAACAGUAUGGAGAUUCCUUAGAAAACUAAAAAUAGAACUACCAUUUGAUCCAGCAAUCCCACUCCUGGGCAUCUAUCCAGAGAAAACCAUGACUUGAAAAGACACAUGUACCUCCAAUGUUCGCUGCAGCACUAUUUUCAAUAGCCAAGACAUGGAAACAACCUAAAUGUCCAUCAACAGAGGAGUGGACAAAGAACAUGUGGUACAUACACACAAUGGGAUAUUACCCAGCCAUUAAAAGGAAUAAAAUACCAGCAUUUUUAGCAAAUGGAUGGACCUAGAAAUUAUCAUGCUAAGUGAAGUCAGUCAUACAAUGAGACAUCAAAUGCUUUCACUGACAUGUGGAAUCUGAAAAAAGGUCACAAUGAACUUCUUUGCAGAACAGAUGCUGACUCACAGACUUUGAAAAACUUAUGGUUUCCAAAGGAGAUAGUUUGGGGUGUGGGGGAUGUGCUGGGAGUGUGGGAUGGAAAUGCUAUAAAAUUGGAUUGUGAUGAUCAUUGUACAACUACAAAUGUAAUAAAUUCAUUAAUUAAAAAUAAAUAAAUAAAAUAAUAAAUAAAACAAAUAAAAUCUGUGCAUUAUCAGUAUUUCCUGAUUUGAUAAUUAUGCUGUGGUUUUAUAAGACCAUCCCUUAAUCUUUGGGAAAUACACAUUAGUGGAGUUCCUGGUGGGGCUUAGCAGGUUAAGAAUCCAACUAGUAUGCAUGAGGAUGCAGGUUCAAUCCCUGGCCUUGCUCAGUGGGUUAAAGGAUCCUGCGUUACUGCAAACUGUGAUGUAGGUCGCAGAUACAGCUCCGAUGUGGCGUUGCUGAGGCUAUGGCAUAGGCCUACAGCUUCAGGUACAAUUCGACCCCUGGCUUGGGAACUUACAUAUGCCAUGGGUAUGACCCUAAAAUAUAUAUAUAUAUUUUUUAAGUAUACACAAGCAAUAUUUAAAGAUAAAGGACCAGCAUUUCUGCUGCCCUCACAUAGUUAAGAAACACAAGGGAGAGAGAAAGGGAUUAAAAAAAUGUAAUAAAAUGUUAACAUCUGAGAAAUCUGGUUGAAGGGUAGAAGGUAUUCUUUGCAUUCUUUCACCACUUUUAAGUCUUUAAAUCUUAUCAAAAUAAAAAUGAGAAAUAUAUCCUAUUUUGUUGAACUUUUUUUUGCUAACUCUUUGGUAACUCAGGACUCGUUAACCAAACAUCAAGAACAUACAUAAGGAGUUCCCGUCAUGGCGCGGUGGUUAACGAAUGCGACUAGGAACCAUGAGCCACGACGGGAACUCCUGAAAUAACUUUUCAAGCCACAUGACAUUCUGAAUAAUUUCUGAAAUAAACCCAAAUGUUUAUGUAAAUUUCCACCAACGGGGGGCUUAUAAAUAAAUUUGGCAUAUUUAUACAAGGGAAUACCCUGGUAUUAUAAGAAUGAGGAAGUUCUUUAGUGCUGAUAUGAUCUACAAGAUAUACUACUAAAUGGAAAAAAGCAAAAUACAGACACAUCCUAUACAAAAAUUAACUCAAAAUCUACCACUGCCUUAAAUAGAAUUAAAACUAUAAAAUUCUUAGAAGACAACACAGCAAAUUCGUGAUCUUGUAUUAGGCAAUGGUUUCUUAGGUAUGACAUCAAAAGCAUGAGCAACAAAAGAACCAAAAGAUAACCUGGUAUUAAUCAAAAUUAAAAGCCUUUACACCUCAAAGGAUACCACCAAGAAAGCCAACCCACAUGGCGGAAGAAAAUAUUUGCAAAUCAUGUAUCUGUUAAGGGACUUAUAUCCAAAAUACAUAAAUAACACUUGUAAUUCAACAAUAAAAAGACAAGUAUGUGAAUUUAAAAAUGACAAAAGGGGAGUUUCCAUCAUGGCUCAGCGGAAACGAAUCUGACUAGUAACCAUGAAGACAAAGAUUUGAUCCCUGGCCUCACUCGGUGGGUUAAGGAUUCGGCAUUGCUAUGGCUGUGGUAGAGGUCAAUGGCUACAGCUCCAAUCCAACUCCUAGCCUGGGAGUCUCCAUAUGCCACAGGUGCAGCCCUAAAAAGUCAAAAAAAAAAAAAAAAAAAAAAGAGAGAGAGAGAGAGAGAGAAAAGGACUUGAAUGGAUAUUUUUCCAAAAAAGAUAUACAAAUGACCAAUAAGCAAAUGAAAAGAUGCUUGAACAUACUAAUCAUUAGGGAACUGCAUGAUACUACUUCACACCUAUUAGGAUGGCAGUUCAAAAACACUGUAACAGAAGUUCCCAUGUGGCUCAGCCCCGUAAUGAGCCCGAGUGGUAUCCAUGAGGAUGCAGGUUCGAUUCUUGGCUUCACUAGGUGGGCUGGGGAUCCAGCGUUACUGUGGCUGUGGCCAGCAGCUGCAGCUCCAAUUCAACACCUAGCCAGAGAACUUCCAUGUGCUGCUGGUGUGUGGCCCUAAAAUGCAAAAAAACCAAAAACAAACGAAAACCACCACCACCACCAACAAAAAACACAGUAACAAGCACUGGUGAGGAUGUGGAGAUAUGCUAACUCUACAUUGCUGGUGGGAAUGUAAAAGAGUGCAGCCCUUUGGAAAACAGAUUUGCAGUUCCUCAUAUGGUUAAACCUAAGAUUACACCACAUGACUUAGCAGUUCUACUCCCAAAUAUGUAUCUAAGAGAACUGAAAAUAUGUCUAUCAACUGAUGAAUAGGUAAACAAAGUGUGGCAUAUCCACACAAUGGAAUAUUUUUCAGCCAUAAAAGAAAAUAUUGAUACAUGCUGUAUCAUAGAUGUGACAACACAAAACUCUAUGCAAAACAAUACACCUAGGGGCUCGAGAGGGUAAUAGGGCUAAAAUUCGCCUAAAGUAAUGGGAAAAAAUCAGUAGUUUUCUUUCCUAUACUGUUUAAUUCUGGUUCCAUUAACUUUUCACUUUUGGUCUUCUAACUCUUUAUAUCUUAGUGGCUCUUUGAUGAAAUUUUUUGUUUGGAAACCCAAACCAAACAAAUUUCUCCUAUAAUGGAUCAGAUCUACAAACUUUUUUUCUGAGGAAGAAGUAGGAAAAAAAAAAAUUUUUUUUUAAAAAAGUUCUGGGAGUUCUGCUGUGGCCCAGCAGGUUAAGAAUCUGACUUGAGUGGCUCAAGUUGCUGUGGAGGUAUGGUUUGCUUCCCACCCUGGCACAGUAGGUUAAAGGAUCCAGUGUUGCUGCAGCUGUGGCAUAGGCUGCAGUUGUUGCUCAGAUUCAACUCCUGGCCCAGGAACUUCAUAUGCCAUGGGUAUGGCCAUAAAAUAAAAUAAAAUAAAAAUUCUGAUAAAACCUCCCUCUGCCAGACAUUAUACCUUAAAGGAAAUGAAGAAUAAUACAUUGGAGUUCUCGUUGUGGCACAGUGGUUAAUGAAUCCGACUAGAAACCAUGAGGUUGCGGGUUCCAUCCCUGCCCUUGCUCAGUGGGUUAACGACCGGCAUUGCCAUGACCUGUGGUGUAGGCUGCAGAUGCGGCUCAAAUCCCGAGUUGCUGUGGCUCUGGCGUAGGCUGGCAGCUACAACUCAGAUUCGAUUCCUAGCCUGGGAACCUCCAUAUGCCAUGGGAGUGGCCCAAGAAAUGGCAAAAAGACAAAAAAAAAAAGAAAGAAAAAAAAGAAUAAUACAUAACCCUUAUAAAUCAAGGGUUUAAUUAAGGGAAUAAAGAACCCUUAGAAAAAAGCCAAAAACAGCUUAGUAACACUAUAUCCU
rnacentral:lncRNA from 1 species